UACAGAGGUCUCAAGCGUUGUUCGGAUUCAUUGGGCGUAAAGGGUGCGCAGGCGGUUUUGUAAGCCAGAUGUGAAAUCCCCGGGCUUAACCUGGGAAUGGCAUUUGGGACUGCAAGGCUGGAGUGCGGCAGAGGAGACUGGAAUUCCUGGUGUAGCAGUGAAAUGCGCAGAUAUCGGGAGGAACACCUAUGGCGAAGGCAGCUCGCUGGGACGUUACUGACGCUGAGACGCGAAAGCGUGGGGAGCAAACAGG
rnacentral:rRNA from 1 species